UUAUAAUAACAUGUAACAUUUACUUUGUGCCACAAUGCCAAGCCUUUCUCAUUCGUAUCUCAAGGAAACUGUCACUUCCACUCUAAAAAGUCAACACUAUCAUUACCCCCACUUGACAGAUGAGAAAACUGAGGCUCCGUGAGAUGAAAUGACUUGAAGCCCAGAAUUGUCAGACCACACAGUUGGCUGAGCAUUUAACCCCUAGUAAUGAGGGCUCUACUGAAAUCCGGAUCUUUGUUUUACAUUGGAAUUGAUGUCUUGUCUGCCAUGCACACACCUAGUGUAACAUUUGGAAGGUACAGAAGCUAUAAAGUGAAAAAUCAGCCUCACAUCAUCCCCACCUCAGCUGCCUGUUCCCUCCCCCGGCAGCCACCGCGGACAAUUUGUCUCUCCUUCUCGAGUGGAGGCUUAUACCAGCCAAUGUGGCUAUGUCUCUUUUUGUAAAAACAGAUAUGGAGCAUAACAGGUACGCUGUUCUGCAGCUUGCUUUUUUCAUUUAAUAAUAUAUCUUGGGAGAGUUCUCCAUCUCGUUCCUUUGAAGACUACACGUCAUUCCAUUCAAUAGAAGGAGUACAUUGGCCCCUAUGGGAUUGUUCAUAUUCAACCAUUUUUGACCAGCAAAAAAAAAAAAAAAAAAGGCAAUUUCACAUGAUUCUGCCUAUAUACCAUAAUUGUUUACCGAAUCUCCUAUGAUGGGCGUUUGGUUAGGUGGUUUCACAUCUUCUGCCCUUAUAAACAGUGCCGUGAUGAGUAUCAUUUGCACACACCAGUGGGUAAUAUCUGUAGGAUAAAUUCCUAGAAUUGCCACUGCCUCUGUGACCCUGGAUAAGUCAAGUUCCUUACCUUAACCCCGAGUGUGAAAUGGAGCGGCCGCAUUAGAUGAUUUCUGAAGCCCCUGCCAGGCCCUAUUGUUCUGCAAAACUGCACUUCUCACAUUUGUAAUUCUAUAUCAUAGCUGGAGAUUACUCACCACAACCUUGUGAAUAUAACCACAGCUCAAGCUCAGGGUGCCCCAAAUCACUGUGGAAACAAAUGUUUUCCACCAAACGCUAACUCACUCCCUGCUGGCCAUAUUUGUCAACCAGAGAAUGAGACAUUUCCCGGUGAUCAAUACAAAUGAAAUAGAAAUCUAUCCUGGGCGGCGGCGGCAAGACUUGGUUUUUAAUAAGGGAACCUCCAGAGGAUAUUGCAUUCCUAUGACAACGGCCGACAGACCUUGAUUUUUAGUGUCAGAAGCUGUUGAAUGCAAAGGUCUGUGGCCGGGGCCUGGCCAGGCGGUGGGUGCGGGGGUUCGGGCUGGAACCAAGUUGGUCCUGAAAGGCUGUUGCAGAAGCCUGCCGGCCGCCCCAGCCCACUGCCCAUCCACAGCCUGCUGUGGGUCACCUGUUCACGAAGGCAGCCACAUUUGCCAGCUGGGCUAUGGUGGAACCGGCCAGGCCAGACAGCUAGCCAAAGAUGAUCCGUAGCCACAGAUCUGGUUAUUUACGGCUUGCCUGUGGUCCCCAGUGACCGGGCAGCUCUCGGAUGACAGCAGUUCAUCUUAAACAAGACCAGGUACUUGGGCAGAGGUGGCAGGGAGCACAAACGACCGUACUGAUAGUCUCUUUUCUGGCUGUAAAUUUAUCUGGUAACAGAGUGACUCGGAGACACCCCGCAUUACUUGCGGUUUGCGAAGUUUACAAACUGCCCGAGACAAACUAGGAUAUUCUGAAAACACAAUUCUCACCCAAACAGCCGAGACAGUUCUGGGUUCCAUCUCUUGAUUCUUCUGCCUCUUUUAAAAUUAUCUGCCGAUACAGACCAGGGCUGGGAAAGACGGCAGAAACAGGAAAACAGCUGGCAUGGAAAGGAGAUGGGAUCGGCAGUGAUUUAUUUCCAGCGAUGUGAUAUUUUAGGUUAUUGUUAUGUGUGUGCAAUAAAUCAUAUUUUAAAGC
rnacentral:lncRNA from 1 species